CCCUGCAGCUCUAACCUGGUUUCCCACUGAAGCUAAGCAUGGCUGAGGCAGUACCUGGAUGGGAGAGCUCCUGGGGAAAACUAAGGUUGCUGCUGGAA
rnacentral:rRNA from 1 species